GGUGGUGUACAGCUCAGUGGUAGAGCACAUGCUUGGCAUGCACAGGGUCCUGGGUUCAAUCCCCAGUGCCUCUG
rfam:Camelus ferus unplaced genomic scaffold scaffold1907, whole genome shotgun sequence.